rnacentral:rRNA from 1 species
AUUGAACGCUGGCGGCAGGCUUAACACAUGCAAGUCGAGCGGGGUGAUGGUGCUUGCACUAUCACUUAGCGGCGGACGGGUGAGUAAUGCUUAGGAAUCUGCCUAUUAGUGGGGGACAACAUCUCGAAAGGGAUGCUAAUACCGCAUACGUCCUACGGGAGAAAGCAGGGGAUCACUUGUGACCUUGCGCUAAUAGAUGAGCCUAAGUCGGAUUAGCUGGUUGGUGGGGUAAAGGCCUACCAAGGCGACGAUCUGUAGCGGGUCAGAGAGGAUGAUCCGCCACACUGGGACUGAGACACGGCCCAGACUCCUACGGGAGGCAGCAGUGGGGAAUAUUGGACAAUGGGGGGAACCCUGAUCCAGCCAUGCCGCGUGUGUGAAGAAGGCCUUAUGGUUGUAAAGCACUUUAAGCGAGGAGGAGGCUCUUUUGGUUAAUACCCAAGAUGAGUGGACGUUACUCGCAGAAUAAGCACCGGCUAACUCUGUGCCAGCCGCCGCCGUAA